rnacentral:tRNA from 1 species
AAGACUUUAGCUUAAUAAAAGUACCUGAUUUGCAUUCAGGAGAUGUGAGAUAAAGUCUUGCAAGUCUUA